rnacentral:rRNA from 1 species
UACGGGGGGGGUAAGCGUUGUUCGGAAUUACUGGGCGUAAAGGGCUCGUAGGCGGCCAACUAAGUCGGACGUGAAAUCCCUCAGCUUAACUGGGGAACUGCGUCCGAUACUGGAUGGCUUGGAUUUGGGAGAGGGAUGCGGAAUUCCAGGUGUAGCGGUGAAAUGCGUAGAUAUCUGGAGGAACACCUGCGGCGAAGGCGGGUUGCUGGGCUGAUACUGACGGCUGAGGCGCGAAAGCCAGGGGAGCGAACGGG